rnacentral:rRNA from 1 species
GAUGAACGCUGGCGGCGUGCCUAAUACAUGCAAGUCGAGCGAACAGACGAGGAGCUUGCUCCUUUGACGUUAGCGGCGGACGGGUGAGUAACACGUAGGUAACCUACCUAUAAGACUGGGAUAACUUCGGGAAACCGGAGCUAAUACCGGAUAAUAUUUCGAACCGCAUGGUUCGAUAGUGAAAGAUGGCUUUGCUAUCACUUAUAGAUGGACCUGCGCCGUAUUAGCUAGUUGGUAAGGUAACGGCUUACCAAGGCAACGAGACGUAGCCGACCUGAGAGGGGGAUCGGCCACACGGGAACUGAGACACGGACCAGACUCCUACGGGAGGCAGCAGUAGGGAAUCGUCCGCAAUGGGCGAAAGCCUGACGGAGCAACGGCGCGUGAGUGAUGAAGGUCUUCGGAGCGGAAAACUCUGUUAUUAGGGAAGAACAAACGUGUAAGUAACUGUGCACGGCUUGACGGUACCUAAUCAGAAAGCCACGGCUAACUACGUG